UAGUUUUCACUACAAAAAUAGCCACGUUUUGGGUUUAGGAUAUGACAAUUUGAAUAAAAAUUCAUAAAACAAGUAACUAGCGUGAGUGUCCAUAUUAUGGUAGAAGAAAUGAUUAUUAUCCUUACAGACAAAAACUGUUCAUUUUCGGAUUUUCGUGAUGGAAGAUUGAAGCUCUAUUUUGGUCAGAGUUCCUGAAGAUAUAUCUGAUGAUAUACAAGAUUUUUCUUUUUGGUGUAAAAGCAAAGAGGUAGAAAGUGUUAGUGAAUAUAUAUUGGUGGCGUAUUUAAAAUUAACUGAAAAUGUUGAUUUUUUUACGUAGGACAAAAUACCAGCUGAAAAACGUGUUGUUUUGUCAGAGGCUUGAUAAAUUUUUGCUGCAUACUUCCGUGAAAAGCUUGUUGAUCUAGUCCUAGAUAAUGUUACGGAUGAAGGGGAAUUUGUUAUGGUAACGUUAGAAGUGAUUGGUUUACAAAUUAUGCAUCAUUAAGAUCGUCCGGGUACACAGUCAAUGAUUUUUCAUGGAUUACAGAAGUGGAAAGUGCACUUGACAAUUUCAAUCAUAAAAGUGCAGAGUUUUUAAAACCAAAACACCCUGAAAAUUAUACCCAUCAUUAUUUUAAGAAGUCCUCCGCCAUUUUGUUGGUUAAUACAGAAAUUUUUAAUUUAGAAA